UUUACAAAAUUAAUAUGAACAUCAAAGUUGCCAUUUGCGUUUUUGCUUGUCUGUUUGCUUUUGUCAUUGGGGAGAACUGUCAGCAUGUAAGCGAUUGUGCACUUACCCGUUGUGGGAGUGGUCAAACUGCUAACUGUUCUAAUGGCAUGUGCAUUUGUGUGAUAUUGACUGGCAUUGCCUGUACAGGUGUCAGUGAAUGUCAUGGUCCAUGUCAUAGUUACAGGGCACACUGUGUUGAUGGACAGUGCGUUUGUGUUAAUAUUUUCCCAUUCGGAAUACAUAAGAAAAAAAGAGAAGAGUCUCACUAGAUCAAUGUUACAUGAGUUGUCAAACAUUAAAAUAUCACAUUUCUUAUAUAAUAUAAUAUUGACUUAAGAUAUUCUACUGUAUUUCUUUUUUUUCACUUGAAUUUAUCAUUGUAUAAGUAAAAUCAAAAUGAAAAAAAAAAUAAAGAAAAUUAUUAUUUA